CACACACACACAGUGCCACACACACAGUGCCACACACACAGUGCCACACACAGUGCCACACACACACACACACACAGUGCCACACACACACACACAGUGCCACACACACACACACACACACACAGUGCCACACACACACACACAGUGCCACACACACACACAGUGCCACACACACACACACAGUGCCACACACACACACACAGUGCCACACACACACACACAGUGCCACACACACACACACAGUGCCACACACACACACAGUGCCACACACACACACACACACACACCUCAGCUGCCCUGGCUAGAUAGAGACAAGCACUGUGACGAUACCAGUAUCAAUGGCAGAAAUGAAAAUACAGACUCUUUUGCCCUUUAAAAAAUAUGCCAUAUGUAAAAUAUUGAGUGCUUGGAAAACAAAUAAAUGUGACUGGAUGACAACCUAAUGAUGUUUGUUUCCAAGAUUAGGGCUGUUUUCCUACAGAAGUCAAAUCCACAUCGUAGAUUUUUUUUCGUAGCCACGACGCUAAUGAGUCUCGUGAUACUGUAUCGUACCGGCCCUAAUAGAGCGAGACGGGAUCGGAGAAAGAGAGAGUGACAGAGGAACAGUAAAAAAAAAAGAGCCGACAGGACAGACAGAAAGUGUGAAAAGAAGACUUCGGCUCUGACUGAGCGACACCGCCCCCCUCUCCCCCACCUCCUAGCCAUCACGCAGUCCCAGGAUUUCAGCCUAGGGAGAGACCUUCCACCUCUUCUCCCUCCGCCGCUCCAAGCAGCACAAAAAUAGAGGGCAGGGGGAAGGGAGUACGAACGAGACAGUAUGAGCCAAGGAGAAAGAGAUCGAGAGUGCGAGGUAAGGCAGAAAACACGAGACAGAUCAAGAUGGGAAUGCACGAAAGGGCUCCAAAGAAAACAUUAGCGCUGCCACUGAUGAUAAAUAGUCUGUGUGUAGGUGACUAAUAACAGUCUGGUUAACCCACAGUGGGCUGUGGCAGACAGUGGCACCAGCAGGUAAGUAGUUAGCCAGUGGGGUCAAAGACCACCCACACCCCCACUCCAGAGGGGCCCAUCCCCGACCUCAUUGGCUAAGCACACUCCAGCCCCCACCUCUGACACCCCAGAUCGAUACACAGCCAUGUCUCUCCUGACAGCAUGGAGA
ensembl:lncRNA